rnacentral:rRNA from 1 species
CCAGCUCCAAUAGCGUAUAUUAAAGUUGUUGCAGUUAAAAAGCUCGUAGUUGAAGGGGUGAGGGCGCGGGGGUGUUUGCUGCAAGGCACAACAGGCCUCGUGGCCUCAAAUGGGGAGGGGGAGUUCCUGUCAAAGGGGGCGCCGACUCUGCGGUUACUUUGAAGAAAUUAGGGUGUUCAAAGCAGGCGAGAGCUUGAAUACAUUAGCAUGGAAUAACGGAUAAGGACUCGUGUCUUGUUUGUUGGUUUGAGGGCGUGAGUAAGGAUUAAUAGGGGCAGUUGGGGGCAUUAGUAUUCAGUAGUCAGAGGUGAAAUUCUUGGAUUUACUGAAGACUAGCUAGUGCGAAAGCAUUUGCCAAGGAUGUUUUCA